UACGUAGGGUGCGAGCGUUAAUCGGAAUUACUGGGCGUAAAGUGUGCGCAGGCGGCGUCGCAAGUCGAGUGUGAAAGCCCCGGGCUUAACUUGGGAAUGGCGCUCGAAACUACGAUGCUGGAGUGUGGCAGAGGAAGGUGGAAUUCCACGUGUAGCGGUGAAAUGCGUAGAGAUGUGGAGGAACACCGAUGGCGAAGGCAGCCUUCUGGGCCAACACUGACGCUCAUGCACGAAAGCGUGGGGAGCAAACAGG
rnacentral:rRNA from 1 species